AUGGCUCAGGAUGAACGCUAGCGACAGGCUUAACACAUGCAAGUCGAGGGGCAGCAUAAAAGUAGCAAUACUUGGUGGCGACCGGCGCACGGGUGAGUAACGCGUAUGCAACCUACCUAUCAGGAGGGGAAUAACCCGGCGAAAGUCGGACUAAUACCGCAUAAAACAGGGGCACCGCAUGGUGAUAUUGUUAAGGAAUUCGCUGAUAGAUGGGCAUGCGUUCCAUUAGGUAGUUGGUGAGGUAACGGCUCACCAAGCCGACGAUGGAUAGGGGAACUGAGAGGUUGGUCCCCCACACUGGUACUGAGACACGGACCAGACUCCUACGGGAGGCAGCAGUGAGGAAUAUUGGUCAAUGGGCGAGAGCCUGAACCAGCCAAGUCGCCGUGAAGGAAGGAGGAUCUAUGGUUCGUAAACUUCUUUUGCAGGGGAAUAAAGUGCAGGACGUGUCCUGUUUUGUAUGUACCCUGAGAAUAAGGAUCGGCUAACUCCGUGCCAGCCGCCGC
rnacentral:rRNA from 1 species